UUUCCUGUUAGGACAUAUAUUUAUUUAAACUGUAUAGAAAUGUACUUGCAAAACAAUCAAUUGUACAAAUUUAAAAGGUAGAUACAGUAUUAAUGUAAUUUGAAAGAGAUAAUUUGCAAUACUGAUGCAAGACAGAAUUUUAGUGAUGUACAUUGUUUGCUACCUGACAUGCAUGCAAAAGGUCACUCAAGGUCACACAUGCAACAGGUCACGCACACAUUUCGCCCAUAAAUAUUCAUGCAGCAGUUAUCAUACACCCAACAGGGAGAUUUCGAUUGAGAAUUCAAAAUGAGAACGUAGAAUGAAUACACUCAUCUGUGACUAUUGUCAUAAUGCGUUCUACAUUCUACUUUAAAUCAAUGUUGAUGUUUUAAAACGCAUUCAAGGAGAUGUCACAAACGCAAAGACUCAAAAACCGAUCAUGUGCACAACAGGUCAUGCAUACAAGAGGUCAUACACAGUGGCAGCUCAUGCACACAACAGGUCAUAUGCAGUGGUUGAGCAUGCAAUAAGUAAGUCAGGUACAGCAACUCUUACACGCAACGGGUCAUGCACACAACAGGUCAUAUGGUCGAGCAGUCAAAAGAUAUUGUCUCUGAAUGUGUAUGUGUAAUAUUAGUAGAUUGUUCAGGUGCAAUAACACGCCAUUAGAUUUUCGUAUACAAUGUAUUUUAUAUAUUUAUGUUCUUUUCUGGUGACUGUGUUAAAUCUUAUAAUCAACUUAUUCUAUAUUGAAUAGGUUUGAUGUGUAUAUAUAUGUGCUGAAAUAUUCCAAUAAAUGAGGUUAUAUGCUAUUACACAACAA